UUCUGAUCCAUGACAGAAGAGACAUCUUUGGUAAUGAGAUCCGAGAUGGGCUGGUGAAGCUGACUCAGAAGAUCCUGGGACCCUGUACCAUUGUCCAGGGAGCACUGAAAAGCAUCAUGAGAACGCCUCAAGAAUUCUACCACAAUAUCCUAAGCUUUCUCAAGUCAAAUCUGCCCUGUGUUGUG